AUUCCUGCGCAGUGGCAGUAUCAUAGUCUAUGAAGUUCUACUGAGACGUGAUUAUUGCUAGUUGAAAACUUUACCCAAUACCCCGCCUGGUUGAUUUGCAAUAUAAUCAGCUGUGGCAAUUUUUGAUGGUCUCCUUAGAGA
rnacentral:snRNA from 1 species